UACGGAGGGUGCAAGCGUUAUCCGGAUUCACUGGGUUUAAAGGGUGCGUAGGUGGGGUGGUAAGUCAGUGGUGAAAUCUCCAGGCUUAACUUGGAAACUGCCAUUGAUACUAUCAAUCUUGAAUAUCGUGGAGGUCAGCGGAAUAUGUCAUGUAGCAGUGAAAUGCUUAGAUAUGACAUAGAACACCAAUUGCGAAGGCAGCUGGCUACACGAAUAUUGACACUGAUGCACGAAAGCGUGGGGAUCAAACAGG
rnacentral:rRNA from 1 species